rfam:Cavia porcellus supercont2_12 genomic scaffold, whole genome shotgun sequence.
GGGGAUUUAGCUUAGCGGUAUAAACGCCUGCCUUGCAAGCAGGCAGUCCCCG